UAUGUUACUCGAUAAAUAUCUUCCCCUCCACUGAUGACAUUCACUGUUCUCUUAGGUGAUGGUGGUUUUGGUGGCUCCUGCCUAUUUUUCAUGUAAGCUUGUUUCCCGUCUCCUAAACAACUCUGUGAGAUAUCCUUGCUUAGUAGAUGGUCUACUUCACUUUGUAGGAAUUUGCAUUCUGAUGUUUUAUGCAUGUGGUCAUUGUGGAACUCGCACCAAUGGUCCGGGUUAUUCCUGUUUGGAUUUGACCGCAUCUCUUUUGGCCACCGUACCUUGUCUCCCAUACUCGUUAGAACAGCUAUGAGCUCAGAAUUAGUUUGAAAUUAUAGUCGCUGAAUCGUGCCUUUAAAUUCCUAUCGUCAUCUCGUGGCUCCUGGUUAUUUCGAUCACCUCUGAACCUGGAUGAAGAUCCAGUCUCCGUAUCUCUUGGUCUUUGAUCAUAUUUUGAUUAUUCUGUUUCGAUCGUGAAUCAUUUCCUGCAGGUCUCAUAUAUGGAUCGUACCUAUUUUUACCUGAUCUUUUUUUAGCUUCUGACCUUCCAGACUUGCUCCUUUCUUCACGAUGGUACUGAGGUACGGUAUCCUCUUCAAUUCUG
rnacentral:lncRNA from 1 species